UAGUNCACGCCGUAAACGAUGAGUGCUAGGUGUUAGACCCUUUCCGGGGUUUAGUGCCGCAGNUAAGGCAUUAAGCACUCCGCCUGGGGAGUACGACCGCAAGGUUGAAACUCAAAGGAAUUGACGGGGGCCCGCACAAGCGGUGGAGCAUGUGGUUUAAUUNGAAGCAACGCGAAGAACCUUACCAGGUCUUGACAUCCCUCUGACCGCUCUAGAGAUAGAGUUUUCCUUCGGGACAGAGGUGACAGGUGGUGCAUGGUUGUCGUCAGCUCGUGUCGUGAGAUGUUGGGUUAAGUCCCGCAACGAGCGCAACCCCUAUUGUUAGUUGCCAUCAUUUAGUUGGGCACUCUAGCGAGACUGCCGGUAAUAAACCGGAGGAAGGUGGGGAUGACGUCAAAUCAUCAUGCCCCUUAUGACCUGGGCUACACACGUGCUACAAUGGCUGGUACAACGAGUCGCAAGCCGGUGACGGCAAGCUAAUCUCUUAAAGCCAGUCUCAGUUCGGAUUGUAGGCUGCAACU
rnacentral:rRNA from 1 species